rnacentral:rRNA from 1 species
GUGGGGAAUAUUGCGCAAUGGACGAAAGUCUGACGCAGCAAUACCGCGUGUGUGAAGAAGGCCUGAGGGUUGUAAAGCACUUUCAGUGGGGAGGAAAGGUUGUAUGUUAAUAGCAUAUAACUGUGACGUUACCCACAGAAGAAGCACCGGCUAACUCCGUGCCAGCAGCCGCGGUAAUACGGAGGGUGCAAGCGUUAAUCGGAAUUACUGGGCGUAAAGCGCGCGUAGGCGGAUAUUUAAGUCAGAUGUGAAAGCCCAGGGCUCAACCUUGGAACUGCAUUUGAUACUGGGUAUCUUGAGUACAGUAGAGGGAGGUGGAAUUUCAGGUGUAGCGGUGAAAUGCGUAGAUAUCUGAAGGAACAUCAGUGGCGAAGGCGGCCUCCUGGACUGAUACUGACGCUGAGGUGCGAAAGCGUGGGGAGCAAACAGG